rnacentral:rRNA from 1 species
UACGUAGGGAGCGAGCGUUGUCCGAAGUUACUGGGCGUAAAAGCGCGCGUAGGCGGGCUGUUAAGUGAGAGGUGAAAGGCUGGGGCUCAACCCCAUGCAGUGCCUCUCAUACUGGCGGUCUUGAAUUCGGCAGGGAGAAGUGGAAUGGCUGGUGUAGCGGUGAAAUGCGCAGAUAUCAGGAGGAACACCAGCGGCGAAGGCGGCGCUCUGGGCCGGAACUGACGCUGAGGAGCGAAAGCGUGGGUAGCAAACAGG